rnacentral:rRNA from 1 species
AGAGUUUGAUCAUGGCUCAGAUUGAACGCUGGCGGCAUGCCUUACACAUGCAAGUCGAACGGCAGCACGGGAGCAAUCCUGGUGGCGAGUGGCGAACGGGUGAGUAAUAUAUCGGAACGUGCCCAGUCGUGGGGGAUAACGUAGCGAAAGCUACGCUAAUACCGCAUACGAUCUACGGAUGAAAGCGGGGGACUCGUAAGGGCCUCGCGCGAUUGGAGCGGCCGAUAUCAGAUUAGGUUGUUGGUGAGGUAAAAGCUCACCAAGCCUGCGAUCUGUAGCUGGUCUGAGAGGACGACCAGCCACACUGGAACUGAGACACGGUCCAGACUCCUACGGGAGGCAGCAGUGGGGAAUUUUGGACAAUGGACGCAAGUCUGAUCCAGCAAUGCCGCGUGCAGGACGAAGGCCUUCGGGUUGUAAACUGCUUUUGAACGGAACGAAACGGUCUGCUUUAAUACAGCGGGCUAAUGACGGUACCGUAAGAAUAGCC